CCUACGGGUGGCUGCAGUGGGGAAUAUUGGACAAUGGGCGAAAGCCUGAUCCAGCCAUGCCGCGUGUGUGAAGAAGGCCUUCGGGUUGUAAAGCACUUUCAGUGGGGAAGAAAGCCUUGGGGCUAAUACCCUCGAGGAAGGACAUCACCCACAGAAGAAGCACCGGCUAACUCCGUGCCUGCAGCCGCGGUAAUACGGAGGGUGCGAGCGUUAAUCGGAAUUACUGGGCGUAAAGCGCGCGUAGGCGGUCUGAUAAGCCGGUUGUGAAAGCCCCGGGCUCAACCUGGGAACGGCAUCCGGAACUGUCAGGCUAGAGUGCAGGAGAGGAAGGUAGAAUUCCCGGUGUAGCGGUGAAAUGCGUAGAGAUCGGGAGGAAUACCAGUGGCGAAGGCGGCCUUCUGGACUGACACUGACGCUGAGGUGCGAAAGCGUGGGUAGCAAACAGGAUUAGAUACCCCAGUAGUC
rnacentral:rRNA from 1 species